rnacentral:rRNA from 1 species
CAGCAGCCGCGGUAAUACGUAGGGUGCGAGCGUUAAUCGGAAUUACUGGGCGUAAAGCGUGCGCAGGCGGUUCGUUAAGACAGAUGUGAAAUCCCCGGGCUUAACCUGGGAACUGCAUUUGUGACUGGCGAGCUAGAGUAUGGCAGAGGGGGGUAGAAUUCCACGUGUAGCAGUGAAAUGCGUAGAGAUGUGGAGGAAUACCGAUGGCGAAGGCAGCCCCCUGGGCCAAUACUGACGCUCAUGCGCGAAAGCGUGGGGAGCAAACAGGAUUAGAUACCCCUGUAGUCCCUGUCUCUUAUAC